CCUACGGGAGGCAGUAGUGAGGAAUAUUGGUCAAUGGGCGCUAGCCUGAACCAGCCAAGUAGCGUGAAGGAUGACUGCCCUAUGGGUUGUAAACUUCUUUUAUAUGGGAAUAAAGUGCAGUAUGUAUACUGCUUUUCAUGUACCUUAUGAAUAAGGAUCGGCUAACUCCGUGCCAGCAGCCGCGGUAAUACGGAGGAGCCGAGCGUUAUCCGGAUUUAUUGGGUUUAAAGGGUGCGUAGGCGGGCUGUUAAGUCAGCGGUCAAAUGUCGGGGCUCAACCCCGGCCUGCCGUUGAAACUGGCGGCCUCGAGUGGGCGAGAAGUAUGCGGAAUGCGUGGUGUAGCGGUGAAAUGCAUAGAUAUCACGCAGAACUCCGAUUGCGAAGGCAGCAUACCGGCGCCCUACUGACGCUGAGGCACGAAAGCGUGGGUAUCGAACAGGAUUAGAUACCCCUGUAGUC
rnacentral:rRNA from 1 species